GCUUUAACAACAACCACUGUUUGUUAGACACUAUGCCUACAGACUAUUUCAGCACACCUGGCCAACGACACACCCUACCAACAGCUGUGCCAUUUUAGGUUCAAGCAGGACCUUUAUAACACUUAUAAAAACAAAGUUUGAAUUUUCAAAAAAGGGGAGAGUUGUUUCCCUCCAUGAAUCUGAGCAAAAAACCUCUCGCCAAGUCA
rnacentral:lncRNA from 1 species